GACGAACGCUGGCGGCGUGCUUAACACAUGCAAGUCGAACGGUGAAGCGCCUUCCUUUUUGGUGGGUGUGGAUGAGUGGCGAACGGGUGAGUAACACGUGAGUAACCUACCCCCUUCUUCUGGAUAACCGCAUGAAAGUGUGGCUAAUACGGGAUAUUCUGGGUCUGUCGCAUGAUGGGUCUGGGAAAGAUAUUGUUUCGGUGGGGGAUGGGCUCGCGGCCUAUCAGCUUGUUGGUGGGGUGAUGGCCUACCAAGGCGGUGACGGGUAGCCGGCCUGAGAGGGUGGACGGUCACACUGGGAAUGAGACACGGCCCAGACUCCUACGGGAGGCAGCAGUGGGGAAUAUUGCACAAUGGGCGGAAGCCUGAUGCAGCGACGCCGCGUGAGGGAUGGAGGCCUUCGGGUUGUGAACCUCUUUCGCCAGUGAAGCAGGCCUGCCUCGUUUGUGGGUGGGUUGACGGUAGCUGGAUAAGAAGCGCCGGCUAACUACGUG
rnacentral:rRNA from 1 species